GACGAACGCUGGCGGCGUGCUUAACACAUGCAAGUCGAACGGAAAGGCCCUGCUUUUGUGGGGUGCUCGAGUGGCGAACGGGUGAGUAACACAUGAGUAACCUGCCCUUGACUUUGGGAUAACUUCAGGAAACUGGGGCUAAUACCGGAUAGGAGCUCCUGCUGCAUGGUGGGGGUUGGAAAGUUUCGGCGGUUGGGGAUGGACUCGCGGCUUAUCAGCUUGUUGGUGGGGUAGUGGCUUACCAAGGCUUUGACGGGUAGCCGGCCUGAGAGGGUGACCGGCCACAUUGGGACUGAGAUACGGCCCAGACUCCUACGGGAGGCAGCAGUGGGGAAUAUUGCACAAUGGGCGGAAGCCUGAUGCAGCAACGCCGCGUGCGGGAUGACGGCCUUCGGGUUGUAAACCGCUUUCGCCUGUGACGAAGCGUGAGUGACGGUAAUGGGUAAAGAAGCACCGGCUAACUACGU
rnacentral:rRNA from 1 species